rnacentral:sRNA from 1 species
CCAACAGAACAAAACCAAAAAGUUCAAAUGAGAAAAAGAGUGUGAGAGAGUGAGAGUGGCAUGUGAAGAGCAACAGUUUGUGAGGCUAAAUGUCAAAAACUUUUACUGAGAGAAGUCUUGAAAGUAAAACUAAUUUGGUAAUUGCAACAGCAAAAAAGCCAUGAAUCAAAGAAAAAGUUGACUAAAGAAUUAGGCAAAUACGAAAGCCAAUUGGAAAAUCUUUAUAAAACAAAACAAAAAAAAGUAAUAUUGAAAAGAUAGCAAAUCGUCAAGGUUUUUUUAAAGCAAAGGUUUGGUCAACAUUUAUUGAAAUGCUAAACAUCUCUACUAUUUCGCAUGUGUAUUUGCAUAAAACGCGAGAAAAUUACGUGCAGUGGUAGUUAAGAUAUAUUGUACAACAUGUCUUUAACAAUGCUUUUUUGAUAAAUUGAAAACCCCUACGUGAGAGAAUAUCGAGAUCAUGGGCAACCCGCUAUACCCACAUCUAUAGCCAGAAUAUACUAACUUAACUAAAAAAACAGCAGGAAAAUCGAAUCCUUAAACUUGACCUGUAAAUGGCUUGUCAGCAGCUUAGUACGGCUUUGCAUAA